rnacentral:misc_RNA from 3 species
AACGCACAUUGCGCCCCUUGGUAUUCCGGGGGGCAUGCCUGUUCGAGCGUCAUUUAGACCAACUCCCGCUCCGGCGGGGUCUUGGGCUGCGCCUUUGGGCGGGCCUUAAAACCAGUGGCGGUGCCCUAAGGCUCUACGCGUAGUAAUUCUUCUCGCGAUAGGGUCCUUGCGGUGUCUUGCCAGCAACCCCCAACUCUCUAGGGUUGACCUCGGAUCAGGUAGGGAUACCCGCUGAACUUAA